rnacentral:rRNA from 1 species
UACGAAGGGGGCUAGCGUUGCUCGGAAUCACUGGGCGUAAAGCGCACGUAGGCGGACUCUUAAGUCGGUGGUGAAAUCCUGGAGCUCAACUCCAGAACUGCCUUCGAUACUGAGAGUCUCGAGUCCGGGAGAGGUGAGUGGAACUGCGAGUGUAGAGGUGAAAUUCGUAGAUAUUCGCAAGAACACCAGUGGCGAAGGCGGCUCUCUAGUACGGUACUGACGCUGAGACGCGAAAGCGUGGGGAGCGAACAGG